AUGGCCUCUGAUCGCGUCGAGGUCGACACCGCCCGCCCUUUCCGGUCCGUGAAGGAGGCGGUCGCGGUGUUCGGGGAGCGCAUCCUCGUUGGAGGGAGCAACUCCAGGUACAACGGCAAUGCGGUUGCCCUCGCCGAUCCGCAUGCCAAUGCCACCCCUAGUGCCAAGCACGAAGAUAGCAGUAGGAGCAGUACCGCCACCCUUUCUCCAAAUGCAAUGGCAGAGGUAGAUGCGGAGCCAGGGCCAGAGGCAAUGACAGCUAUCGUGCCAAUGUACUCCGCGCACUCCUCGCCGUCGUUCACGUCGCCGCGUUCGGCGUAUGAAGACGACGGCGAGCUUGGUUGCCAAGACGAGGAAGCCGGGCUCGCGGUUGUGAGCUCCAUCAAGAAGCUGGAGGCGGAGGUGGCCGAUACGAGACGGGAGGUGCUGCAGCUCAGGAAGAGGGGCACCGAGAUGGAGAUGGCCGUGGCCACCCUCAACGCGCAGCUCCACCGAGGCCUCUCGAGGCUGGCCGAGAUCGAGGCCGACAAGGCUGCGGCGGCGGCACGCCGCAGCAUCGGUGGAGACACCGACGUGAUGGCGGCGGCCAUGGUGCGGAGCGAGCGGUGGGCCGAGAAGUCCAGCACGUACAGCAGCGAGUACCUGCCGUCCUUCAGCCACGCGCUGAGCCUCGGCGAGAUCGACGACGACCUGCUCGGCGGCAGGAGGAGGAAGGCGCAGAAGGUGAAGCCCAUCGUGCCCCUCAUCGGCGACAUCCUCUUCUCCAAGAGUUUCUCCAAGAGGAAGAGCGGCAAGGACAGCGGGGAUCUCUCCGGCGUGUUAGGGUGA
rnacentral:rRNA from 1 species